UAGUAAAUACUGAUGGAACAUUUUUCUGCAAUGUUGCUCAACUGAAUUUUUAACUUGAGGUCAUUCCAAAUACUGUAUUACAUGCAGUAUUGGGGGGUAUUACUGGUGUUAUCUAUUUUCAGAUUGUUAUCUGAAUGUAUUAAUAAGCAUCUUCCUUUAUAUGGUUUUUCUUCAGGUUUCAAGGACAGUUGUCUAAAUUUUAUCACUCAGAGAAUCAAUUUAAGCACAUAGGAAAGCUGCCUUCUGCUAUGUUGGGCUGACUGGCAACAGCUCUCUGGGGCUUCUUAUCCAGAACUAAAGAUGACAAAAAUUGAAGCUGAGAUCUUUUGAUGCAAAGUGUGCUUUCUUUAACUGAGCUACAGUCAUUUUCCCUCAAGAUGAAGAACUCUUCUGCAUGUUUCCAACCAAUACAGACCUCAGCUUUCUUUUGCCAAUUGGACUUGCAAUACUUGCUGAUGUCAUCGAUUUAUCUUGUUUUCAUCUUUUUAUUGUGUACUAAAUGGGUAAAAAAAAAAGUUAGGAUCAAGAGUGAAUAUGUUAGCAUAAUAAACAUGUAUUUAAUGCAAAAAUAAAUGCCAAUAUGAAGAA